GACGAAGGAUGCAAGCGUUAUCCGGAUUCAUUGGGUUUAAAGGGCGCGUAGGCGGCCCUGUAAGUCAGUGGUGAAAUCUUUGGGCUUAACCCAAAAAUUGCCAUUGAUACUGCAGGGCUUGAGUACAGUUGCUGUGGGCGGAAUAUGACAUGUAGUGGUGAAAUACAUAGAGAUGUCAUAGAACACCGAUUGCGAAGGCAGCUCACAAAACUGUAACUGACGCUGAGGCUCGAAAGUGCGGGGAUCAAACAGG
rnacentral:rRNA from 1 species